rnacentral:lncRNA from 1 species
GAAGCUAUUCUUAAUAGCAUUGGCAUAACACCCUCUAUUUGGGUAAGCAAGGUGAGAGACAUUUUGACAAUUAUAGAUAGGAUCAUUAAGCAACAUAGCUCUAGCUUCUUUCGCCAUCUUGUCAGCCAUCCUGUUGAUCUCCCUGGGUAUCCAAGUGACCUGCAUCCAACUUUCAGGAAUGGUGGAAAGAAUUUGACUCCAAAAGGGCCUGAGACUCCAAUGACCUGGAUCUGCACCAAAGUCUUUUUUCCUGAACACUUCUGCAAUUAUCAGGUACUUACCAUUGCCUCAGCACCAUGA